rfam:Pteropus alecto contig62638, whole genome shotgun sequence.
GUCUAUGGCCAUGCCACCCUGAACCAGCCUGAUCCCAUCUGAUCUCAGAAGCUGAGCAGAGUCGGGCCUGGUUAGUACUUGGAUGGGUGGCCACCUAGGAAGACGAGGUGCUGUAGGUG